rnacentral:rRNA from 1 species
CCUACGGGCGGCUGCAGUGGGGAAUAUUGGACAAUGGGCGAAAGCCUGAUCCAGCCAUGCCGCGUGUGUGAAGAAGGCCUUCGGGUUGUAAAGCACUUUCAGUGGGGAAGAAAGCCUUGGGGCUAAUACCCUCGAGGAAGGACAUCACCCACAGAAGAAGCACCGGCUAACUCCGUGCCAGCAGCCGCGGUAAUACGGAGGGUGCGAGCGUUAAUCGGAAUUACUGGGCGUAAAGCGCGCGUAGGCGGUCUGAUAAGCCGGUUGUGAAAGCCCCGGGCUCAACCUGGGAACGGCAUCCGGAACUGUCAGGCUAGAGUGCAGGAGAGGAAGGUAGAAUUCCCAGUGUAGCGGUGAAAUGCGUAGAGAUCGGGAGGAAUACCAGUGGCGAAGGCGGCCUUCUGGACUGACACUGACGCUGAGGUGCGAAAGCGUGGGUAGCAAACAGGAUUAGAUACCCGAGUAGC